rnacentral:rRNA from 1 species
GACGAACGCUGGCGGCGUGCCUAAUACAUGCAAGUCGAGCGCUGAAGGUUGGUACUUGUACCGACUGGAUGAGCAGCGAACGGGUGAGUAACGCGUGGGGAAUCUGCCUUUGAGCGGGGGACAACAUUUGGACACGAAUGCUAAUACCGCAUAAAAACUUUAAACACAAGUUUUAAGUUUGAAAGAUGCAAUUGCAUCACUCACUGACGAUCUCUCGGUGUAUUAGCUAGUUGGUGAGGUAAAGGCUCACCAAGGCGAUGAUACAUAGCCGACCUGAGCGGGUGGUCAGCCGCAUUGGGACGGAGACCCGGCCCAAACGGCUACGGGGAGGAGCAAGAGGGAAACGUGGGGAAUGGGCGGAAGUCUGACCGAGAAACGCCGCGGGAGGGAAGAAGGGUGUCGGGUCGGAAAAGACGGUUGGUAGGGAAGAAAGUUGGUGAGAGUGGAAAGCUCAUCGAGUGACGGUAACUACUAAGAAAGGGACGGCUAACUACGUG